rnacentral:tRNA from 1 species
GUGGCGUUAGCUCAGCAGGCCAGAGUCCCGAGCUGUGAACUCGGAGGUCGCGGGUUCGAGUCCCGCACGCCACCCCA